rnacentral:rRNA from 1 species
CGGGGGGGCAAGCGUUGUUCGGAAUUACUGGGCGUAAAGGGCGCGUAGGCGGUUUGCUAAGUCGGAUGUGAAAACUCUGGGCUCAACCAGAGCCUGCAUCCGAAACUGGCAGGCUAGAGUUCUGGAGGGGGUAGCGGAAUUCCUGGUGUAGCGGUGAAAUGCGUAGAUAUCAGGAGGAACACCGGUGGCGAAGGCGGCUACCUGGACAGGAACUGACGCUGAGGCGCGAAAGCUAGGGGAGCAAACAGGAUUAGAUACCCUGGUAGUCCUAGCCCUAAACGAUGGAUACUUGGUGUGACUGGGAUUGAAUCCAGUCGUGCCGAAGCUAACGCAUUAAGUAUCCCGCCUGGGGAGUACGGUCGCAAGGCUG